GUGUCAGUUGUUUUCACUAUGUCUGUCUGUCUGUCAGUCUGCCUGAGCUGCUGUGUCUGUCGGGGGUGAGAUUAACCUGAUGAUCUCAUACUGUGGGUGAUGCAGUCUUACGGCAGGUUUGCUCCCGGGCUCUGACAAGGUGAACACUCCACAGUUUCCAAACAGCAGAGUCGACAGAUGCUCGUGCCAAAAGGGGAAUUCACCCACGCAGCGACCGACCUCAAACCUCAGCCUUACCUGCUCCUGACAGGCUGCAAUCUGACUCUCCCACACCCACACAAGUCCUGAGAGCGCUGGACCCCAUGGGAAAAUACUGCGGGUCGGAAAGAGGAGGUGUGACGGGACUACGACGUAAGUGAGUUUGAAUCACCGUCUCUGUUUGUUUUGGAGAGGAAGAGGAAGAGGCCUCUGCGGAUUCUGCUCCUGCUAAAAACUUCCAAAAUGCCUGGAUCAGACAAAAAGU